rnacentral:rRNA from 1 species
GCAAGUCGAGGGGUAUGGUUCUUCGGAACCAGAGACCGGCGCACGGGUGCGUAACGCGUAUGCAAUCUACCUUUCACAGAGGGAUAGCCCAGAGAAAUUUGGAUUAAUACCUCAUAGUAUAUUGGUCUCGCAUGAGAUUGUUAUUAAAGAUUUAUCGGUGAAAGAUGAGCAUGCGUCCCAUUAGUUAGUUGGUAAGGUAACGGCUUACCAAGACUACGAUGGGUAGGGGUCCUGAGAGGGAGAUCCCCCACACUGGUACUGAGACACGGACCAGACUCCUACGGGAGGCAGCAGUGAGGAAUAUUGGACAAUGGGCGCAAGCCUGAUCCAGCCAUGCCGCGUGCAGGAUGACGGUCCUAUGGAUUGUAAACUGCUUUUAUACGAGAAGAAACACUGGUUCGUGAACCAGCUUGACGGUAUCGUAAGAAUAAGGAUCGGCUAACUCCGUGCCAGCAGCCGCGGUAAUACGGAGGAUCCAAGCGUUAUCCGGAAUCAUUGGGUUUAAAGGGUCCGUAGGCGGUCAGAUAAGUCAGUGGUGAAAGCCCAUCGCUCAACGGUGGAACGGCCAUUGAUACUGUCUGACUUGAAUUAUUA